AUGCCCCAUCACUCCGGUGGGCACUGCCCGCUGUCGGGGGAGGGGUCCUGUCUGGCCGUUGGAAACCGCUCGCUCCCUCCCUCCCUCCCUCGCCAGGUGCAAACCGGAGCGCGGGCCGCCCUCUCCGGCAACAGCUGCAGCCCCCGCUUCCGCACACCCCGCGUCUCGCGCCGAGGGCCACGGGCUCUCCUUACCUGCUGCCCUGGGCCGCCUCCCUGCAGACGCAGCUUCGCUGGGGUCCGGGCCGCGGCGGCCGCCGACGAUCCCGGGCGGCGGCUCCCGCGCUCCGACCCCCGCGCCCCUACAUCGCGCGCCCGCCGCGGCCCUGGGAGCGCCUCCGCGCGGGGCAGCCGGCCUGGGCGUCACCACCUCCGCCUCCGCCGGCGCCUCCGCGGCCUGAGCCCCUCAGGGGGGCCCCCUCCGCGCCGGGCCCCCUCCUCCGCCCCCAGGUGCGUCUCCUGCACGGCGCGCACCGCCUGCCCCUCCUGCACCCCGGGCAGCCAGUUUGCUUCCUGCACCCCCAGGCGCCCCUCCCCCUCGGGCCCCCGGGGCCCCACGGGCCGGGCCCUGCCCGCGACCUCGAGCCCCCCGCGGCAGCGCUCCCAGGACGGCGCCCCGCGCGCCGCGGAACUUUCGGGCCCCUCCGCGCGCGCCCACGGGCGGUCUCCGAGCUCGGCGAGCGGCCCGGGCUGCUGCGAACGCCGGCGGCCGCCCUCCCCCUGCUCCUGCACCCCGGCGCGGGCCUCCCCGCGCUCCUGCACUGCGGGGCUGCCCCCGCCCUCCUCCUGGUGCUGCCCGCGGGGCCCCAGCCCCUCCUCCUGCGCCACCGGCCAGCCCGCCGAGCCGGCCCACCGCGCCGGGCGCCCGCAGCCCGCGCCGUCCGACGGGCCCCACCCGCCCCCCGGGCUGGGCUCGCGGCCGCGGCCGCCCCGCUCCUGCACCCCCGGGCCCACCCCGCCCUCCUCCUGCACGGCCGGCCCCGCGCCCCCCUGCUCCUCCACGCCGAGCCGCAGCCCGCGGAGCUGCUGCGGGCCCCAGCUCAGGCGCCCGACCCGCUGCGGCCGCUGCUCCGGCAGCGCGGGGCUCAGCCCGCCGCGCUCCUCCUGCGCCGCCCCGCGCGCUCGCCUGCCCCCGAGAGGCCGCGCGGUCCCGCCCCUCCAGAUGGUGCCGCCCCCGCCGCCCCCCGCCCAGCCCCGCCCCGCCCCUCCCCGCCGAGCCCCGCCGAGGCCGCCGAGGCCGCCGCGGGCCGGCGCCCCCGCUCCUCCGCCCCCGCCGCGCCCCGCGCCCCGCGCCCCGCGCCCCGCGCCCCGCAGGUGCAGCGGCCCCGCGCGCCCGCCCGAGUUCCCGGAGCCCGCCUGCGCCUGCGCCUGC
rnacentral:lncRNA from 1 species